AGCGAACGCUGGCGGCAGGCUUAACACAUGCAAGUCGAGCGGGCACUUUCGGGUGUCAGCGGCGGACGGGUGAGUAACGCGUGGGAACGUGCCCUCUGGUUCGGAAUAACUCAGGGAAACUUGAGCUAAUACCGGAUACGCCCUUUUGGGGAAAGGCUUGCUGCCGGAGGAUCGGCCCGCGUCUGAUUAGCUAGUUGGUGAGGUAACGGCUCACCAAGGCGACGAUCAGUAGCUGGUCUGAGAGGAUGAUCAGCCACACUGGGACUGAGACACGGCCCAGACUCCUACGGGAGGCAGCAGUGGGGAAUAUUGGAAAAUGGGCGCAAGCCUGAUCCAGCCAUGCCGCGUGAGUGAUGAAGGCCUUAGGGUUGUAAAGCUCUUUUAUCCGGGACGAUAAUGACGGUACCGGAGGAAUAAGCCCUGGCUAACUUCGUG
rnacentral:rRNA from 1 species